rnacentral:lncRNA from 1 species
GAUUUUGGCCUCUUGUCCCCAGCAGUCUCUUUCACCAGAGAAUUACUACAGGGACAUCUGCCCCCAGUUUUUUUGUAGGUUCUGGAUUUAUUUCACUUUCAAGAUAAAUUGACAGCACGACAAUUUCAGAGAGUUGCCACCACUACCUUUAUAACUUUGUCAAGAGAACGCCCACAUUUGGCAGCAAAGUAUUUGCUCCAGCCAGUGUUAGCUCCUCUUCAUCGAUGUUUGAAUACAGCAGAGCUUUCAGAGAGUGACAUGGUACCAGGAACUAUUUUGGUGACAGAAGAAGAACUUAGUAGAUGCAUUGAGGAUGUGUUUAAGGUGUACGUGGUUGGGAAUGAACCUUUAACAGUUUUGAUGGAUUCCCUGCUUCCAGUCCUGGGAGUGCUUUUUCUUCUCUACUGUUUUACUAAGCAGAGUGUGUCUCACAUAAGGUCACUUUGCCAAGAAAUCUUAUUAUGGAUUCUGGGGAAGCUGGAAAGGAAGAAGGCAAUUGCCAGCCUGAAAGGAUUUGCAGGGUUGGACAAAGCUGUGCCCUCUCUCCAUUCU